rnacentral:rRNA from 1 species
AGCGUAGGCGGGGGAAUAAGUUAGAAGUUUAAUGUAUGGGCUUAACCCAUAAUCUGCUUCUAAUACUGUUUCCCUUGAGUAUGGGAGAGGGAGAUGGAAUUCCAGGUGUAGCGGUGGAAUGCGUAGAUAUCUGGAAGAACACCAGCUGCGAAGGCGGUCUCCUGGCCCAAUACUGACGCUGAGGCUCGAAAGCUAGGGGAGCAAACAGGAUUAGAUACCCUGGUAGUCCUAGCUGUAAACGAUGGACACUAGAUGCUGGAGGAGUCAAUCCUUUCGGUGUCGUAGCUAACGCGUUAAGUGUCCCGCCUGGGGAGUACGCUCGCAAGGGUGAA